UACGAAGGGGGCUAGCGUUGCUCGGAAUUACUGGGCGUAAAGCGCACGUAGGCGGAUUGCUAAGUCAGGGGUGAAAUCCUGGAGCUCAACUCCAGAACUGCCUUUGAUACUGAAGAUCUUGAGUUCGGGAGAGGUGAGUGGAACUGCGAGUGUAGAGGUGAAAUUCGUAGAUAUUCGCAAGAACACCAGUGGCGAAGGCGGCUCACUGGCCCGAUCUGACGCUGAGGCACGAAAGCGUGGGGAG
rnacentral:rRNA from 1 species